AGGUUUAAUUUCCAGCACACAUAUGGCAACUUACCACUGAAAGAUCCCACACAGAGAGACCCUUACUCAAGUCUUGGGAAAUCUCGGACCCUAGACACAGAGAGACCA
rnacentral:pre_miRNA from 14 species